ACAAGCAAGCUACAUUCUGUCUGGCAAUUAUUUUUAGCAGCUACCUAGUUUAAUUGGUAGUUGUUGUUGUUGUGAUUCUACCUCUCACACACUUCUACCCACUCACUCACGCACACACAGCUGGAUACACCCCUUUUUGACACUUGGCAAACAAUUCAAAUCACUCGAUUUAUUCACCUCUGCAAAAGUAUUCAAUAAAUACGCCUAAAGGAAGGGGUAGUAUAAUAGAGAUGCUGCAUACAAUGACACUUCAGCACGCACGCACACACGCACUCGAGUAGCUGUCAAACACCCUUAUACAGCCUACGGAUUGGUAGCGGAAGGUUUGCCACACCUUUUCUUUGGGGAAAUGCAAUGUUUAAAUUUCCGGGAUCAAUUUGCAUGCACAAUUGAAUCGUUGCCCGUUCAGUUGUUGCUGUGUUGCAUGCAACAUUUACUCAGUGCCUUGUUGGAGCUGCCCUGACCCGAGGGAGCUACACGAAAACAAAUAAAUAAAUCUGUUGAAAGCUGCGGCAUGUAAGAAGCACUAAAGUUCUUUCUACUCAUUUAUCGGCUUAAAUCAAACACAACAAUGAAGAACGAAAGCCGAAACGGAAAAAGAAGGCGUUUAAUGCCUCCACAAAAAUAUUCAAAUACAUGAUUUUUAAUUUAUGCCAGAGGCGCAACGUGAGGAAUUAGAAAAUGUUAAUGGAGCACAGCGAAGAGGUAAGAGGGAACAGCACAGAGAACUGGCUUUCAGUAGAGGCCAAAAGGUGUUUCUUUUUGGACUGUUCUUGCUUUAAUAAAAGGUCAGCCCUGAUCCUGCCCUGUGGAAAGGUAACUCUAAUUGAUGAUGAAGCAUGGCAUUGUUUGGCCAGCGCGAGGUGUUAGCAUAUUUUUCUAAUCAAAUUGUGUUGCACAGGUAACCGAAAAGGUGCUCGCCAGCUGACAACAGUAACAACAACAAUAACAAUAGAUUUCUAACGUGUCUACCUAGCCAUGAGCAGUUGUUAG